rnacentral:lncRNA from 1 species
GUCUUGGGGGUUGGUUAAUAGAGACCGAUAGCAGCCAGGGACUACAGUAAGUUAUUGGGGUUGGUUAAUAGGGACUGGUAGCAGCCAGGGACUACAGUUAGGUCUUGGGGGUUGGUUAAUAGGGACGUAGCAGGGACUACAGUUAGGUCUUGGGGGUUGGUUAAUAGGGACUGGUAGCAGCCAGGGACUACAGUUAGGUCUUGGGGGUUGGAUAAUAGGGACUGGUAGCAGCCAGGGACUACAGUUAGGUCUUGGGGGUUGGUUAAUAGGGACUGGUAGCAACCAGGGACUACAAUUAGGUCUUGGGGGUUGGUUAAUAGGGACUGGUAGCAGCCAGGGACUACAGUUAGGUCUUGGGGGUUGGAUAAUAGGGACUGGUAGCAGCCAGGGACUACAGUUAGGUCUUGGGGGUUGGUUAAUAGGGACUGGUAGCAGCCAGGGACUACAGUUAGGUCUUGGGGGUUGGUUAAUAGGGACUGGUAGCAGCCAGGGACUACAGUUAUGUCUUGGGGGUUGGUUAAUAGGGACUGGUAGCAGCCGGGGACUACAGUUAGGUCUUGGGGGUUGGUUAAUAGGGACUGGUAGCAGCCAGGGACUACAGUUAGGUCUUGGGGGUUGGUUAAUAGGGACUGGUAGCAGCCAGGGACUACAGUUAGGUCUUGGGGGUUGGUUAAUAGGGACUGGUAGCAGCCAGGGACUACAGUUAGGUCUUGGGGGUUGGUUAAUAGGGACUGGUAGCAGCCAGGGACUACAGUUAGGUCUUGGGGGUUGGUUAAUAGGGACUGGUAGCAGCCAGGGACUACAGUUAGGUCUUGGGGGUUGGUUAAUAGGGACUGGUAGCAGCCAGGGACUACAGUUAGGUCUUGGGGGGUUGGUUAAUAGGGACUGGUAGCAGCCAGGGACUACAGUUAUGUCUUGGGGGUUGGUUAAUAGGGACUGGUAGCAGCCAGGGACUACAGUUAGGUCUUGGGGGUUGGUUAAUAGGGACUGGUAGCAGCCAGGGACUACAGUUAGGUCUUGGGGGUUGGUUAAUAGGGGACUGGUAGCAGCCAGGGACUACAGUUAGGUCUUGGGGGUUGGUUAAUAGGGACUGGUAGCAGCCAGGGACUACAGUUAGGUCUUGGGGGUUGGUUAAUAGGGACUGGUAGCAGCCAGGGACUACAGUUAGGUCUUGGGGGUUGGUUAAUAGGGACUGGUAGCAGCCAGGGACUACAGUUAGGUCUUGGGGGUUGGUUAAUAGGGG